UCCAGGGUAGCCUAGUGGACAUGGCAUCUGCCCGGUAAGCAGAACACUGUGGGUUCGAAUCCCAUCCCUGGAC
rnacentral:tRNA from 1 species